rnacentral:rRNA from 1 species
AUUGAACGCUGGCGGCGUGCCUAACACAUGCAAGUCGAGCGGUAACAGGUGUAGCAAUACAUGCUGACGAGCGGCGGACGGGUGAGUAACGCUUGGGAAUCUGCCUAUUAGUGGGGGACAACCCGGGGAAACUCGGGCUAAUACCGCAUACGCUCUACGGAGGAAAGCCGGGGACCGCAAGGCCUGGCGCUAAUAGAUGAGCCCAAGUCGGAUUAGCUAGUUGGUAGGGUAANGGCCUACCAAGGCGACGAUCCGUAACUGGUCUGAGAGGACGACCAGUCACACCGGAACUGAGACACGGUCCGGACUCCUACGGGAGGCAGCAGUGGGGAAUAUUGGACAAUGGGCGAAAGCCUGAUCCAGCGACGCCGCGUGGGUGAAGAAGGCCUGCGGG